UAUUAUUAGCUAUGUAAAUAAAUAAAUAUCUGAGUAGUAAUAGUUAUGUUCUUGAAACUCAAAGAAUUUGGCGGUGUUUUAGUCCUUUCAGAGGAAUCUGUCCUGUAAUUGAUAAUACACGAUUUAUUUUACUUAAUUUUGUUAUCAGUUUAUAUACCGCCGUCAGUAAGAUUAUCUUGUGGAGGGUAAAAAAUUUCAUUAUAUUUUAUUGAAUAUUAUGUCAGGUCAAGGUGUAGCUAAUGAUUAAGUAGAGAUGGAUUACAUUGAUGAUAUAUUUGGAUAGCAAUUUGAGAUUUUUGUUUGAAAGUGGAUUUGAUUGUAAAUGAAUAUAAAUUGAUUUAUUGAUUAGGGCUCUAGAAUGUGUACAUAUCGCCCGUCGCUCUCGUUUUAAGAUGAG
rnacentral:rRNA from 1 species